rnacentral:misc_RNA from 1 species
AGCAAUAACGCGGGACAGUGGCGCCUCUCUACUGGACUGCCAGCUACGAUAGCACUCACCGCAGACCUCGUGGUGGUGUCGGGUCGGAGCAACCGCCGAGCAGCGACAGCGAUGACUAUACUGCCGCCCAUCAGCA